rnacentral:lncRNA from 1 species
AGACAUUUCCCUUACCAUAGUGUGGCCUACUUGUUGUUUUCUUAAUGAGAAUGAGAAAGAAUUCCACUGUGCAUUGUGCACUUUGGCGCUUCUGUGUUCCAUUGUUGCUGCUUGCCAGCUUCAGUUAUGCUCCUUCUGUUUUGGCGACAGCUGAAAUUUCAGGUUUGUUGUUAAUGCUAAUUAUAACAAUACCUACAUUUCGUUAGGCUUUUAGUUUAGGAAAUAGGAUGUUUCGUCGUUUUAGUCCUUAAUAAAAAUAUAUUCAUUUUAAUAUGUACAUUAAAAAAGUGUAUAAUUUUUCCAGGAGGCAAAAAAGUUUGAAAUUUGGAGUGACUAGCAUGCUUAUUUUCUUUACGGAGAGAGAGAGAGAACGAGUAUUUUUUUUUUUCAAAUUGAGAGACUAAAAAAGAAAAUUAAAAUUUGAGGGACUAGAAAGAAAAGAGACUAAAAGUUGAACAACUAAAAACAUACUUAAAUAUGGAUAUGGAUUUAUCAUUUUAUUUUUGUAUUUAAAUAUGUCUUCUCUAUUAAUCUAUGCAAAAAAAAAAUUAAAAUUUAUAAAAUAAUAAAAGUGUGUUGAUACACGUUCGCCCUAAAAUGGGGUGGAUAAUUGAGUUGGAAAGAUUAGAUUGAGUGGAACAAUGAAAGAGAGAUUGGAAGGAAAAGAAAGAUAGACGUGAUAAAAAAAAUAGUAAGAAAUAGGAAGUAAAUAUAGAAUAUGGAAACGAAAUAGAAGAGACAGUUGAUAGAUGAUUCUAAUUUUUCAUUACAAAACAUUGUGUUUAAAUUAUGUUAUUUUGUAUUUAUUAUGUACGGAAGGAGAUGAACAUUGACGGGAAGUUUUUAGAGGAAGAAUUAUCAGAAUCAAGUCUAAAAGGAUAAGAUGAAGAAGCCAAAUUUAAAGGAUUUUUUCCAAAGCUAAUUCCAAUUGUUAAGCCUAUUACAAAGUCAAUUCCCAUAGUUAAAGCCUAUUCCUAUUCCAGUUUAUAAGUCUAUCCCGAAACCACUUCCCAUUGCUAAGACUAUUCCAAAACUAAUUCCUAUUGUUAAGCCAAUUUCAAAUGAAGAAGAAAAAUUCAAAAGUCUUUUUCCAAAAUCUAUUCCAAUAGUUAAACCUAUUCCAAAGCUAAUUCUUAUAUUGUUAAGCCAAUACCAAAGCCAAUUCCUAUUGUUAAACCUAUUUAUAUUCCAGUAUACAAGUGGCUACUAAAGCCAAUUCCUAUUAUUAAGCCUCUACCAAGCCAAUUCCAGUUGUUAAGUCAAUUCCUAUUCUUAAAGCUAUACUAAAUUCAAUUUUCAUUGUUAAAUCUCUAUCGAAACCAUUUAUAGUAAAGAAAUCCAACUCUCCUAUUUGAGCCUGAGGAAUUUUUAAAGCCAAAGCCUCUCUUUAAAAAGCAUAUUCCCAAAUUCCGAAAACCAUUUCUACCACCAUUGCCAAUUAACAAACUAAUUACAACUCCAUAAAAUGAUAACUUUCUACCUCCUGAAACUAUAAAGUUAUCCCUUCAAUUUUUAAUGCUUUUAUUUACACAUCUCAUUCUAAAUCCUUUAGUACCCUUCUUGUGUACUGAAUUGGAAUAUCUGUAGUUAAUCUUUUCUCCUCAAUAAACUUUUCAUCAAUAUUAUCGUUUGUAGGACUCGUUAUAUUGAAGUAAGACAUGGUAAGUACAAUUUUUCCAUUUUGGUUUAGUAAUAUUUCAAUAUUUUUAUAUUGUGAUUAUAUUUAAUUGUGUGUGAGAGAUCAGAAAAAAUAAUUAAUGUAGCUAUUUUUAUAUCACUGAGGUAAAUUUUAACUAUAAUUAAGUUUUAAUAUGAAUUCUAAAUAUUAUGAUAAGUAAACGUUGAAUUUGUCACCAACUAAAAGAUUGUCCAAGUGAAACUAAGUUUGAUCCUGUAAAGUAAGAUUUUGGAUUCAAGUUUUGUGGAUAAAAAAAACUAAUUAAAAGGAGAAUUUUUAUCAAAGGUGAUUACAUUUUCUGGUAGAAAUUACUUAUCCACAAAGUUGGAGAAUAAUUUGCACCAAUAAGAUAGUUAACAAAAAAAAUUAAAUUUGUUAGAAUUUAAUUUCUAAGAUAUUAAAAAUCCUCCCUUUUCUCUUCAAUUUUUUUUAAAAUAAAACAGUAAUUUUUAUACUUUAUUUUUAUUAUCAUUUUGUACUGGAAAGGACCAAAGUGAAUAGUACUUUGUAAAGUUACACAUUAUGAAAAGAGUUUUAAAAUCUCAAGAAAUAAAACCUUCAAUAUAUCCAAUCAAUCUUGAGGACUAAUUUAUGGAUUUACUCAUGUUAUAACACAAAGAGUUAUUUAACUGUUUUUAACACAUAAGAAACUAAUUAUUAAUUACUAUUAAAGAAAAUAUAUAUUAAAAAUGUUUAAUAGCAUUAUACAUUCAAAAUUAUAUAACUUUUUCAUGUCAUAAAUUAAAAUGUACUGUCAUUUUUUUAGCAAAAUAAAAUGAACUAUCAUAACAACAUAUAAUAAAUUUAAAUGUUAUUUAAUUCUUGUUCAUUUACGUAAAUUUAUUAACUUAAUUUAUUACAUGUAACAUUUAAAAUCAACCUAAACUUAUUACACUAAUAUCUAUAUUAGUAAUAAAAAGAACUACCCACCUUUAGUGUACACAAUUUUACCGAGAAUUACUUCUUAAGAAUUCAUUAUUCUUUCUAAACUACAAUAUCGAUCUCUACCCUUAUACUGUUAGUUUCUUUGUGUUUUAUUAUUCCUGUUAUUUUUAAUUUAACUUUAUUUAACCUCCAAAAACAUUUUUCUCUUCUCUUUAAUUUACUUUGAUUUGAAAAUUUUAACGAGACUCAGAGUGCCUUUCUUCCUCGAGUAAGCAUCAGAAACAAAAUAACAUAAUUCAUAUAUAUAUAUAUAUAUAUAUAUAUAUAUAUAUAUAUAUAUAUAUAUAUAUAUAUAUAUAUAUAUAUAUAUAUAUAUAUAUAUAACGCCUAUUUGUUUUGUAUUUAAAACUUUUGUUUUAGUAAUGUUUUCACUAUAAUUUCUUAUUUAGGUUAACAUUAUUUAUCAAAUUGAAGUUUUUUAUUUUUAUUUAAAAGAACAUGGAAGCACGUAAAUGAGAUGAAAUAACUCUAAUGUUGAUAUACAUAAUAAGUCACUACUAAAAAAUAGAUUUUUAAUAUCGGUUAUUAAAGAUUUUUAACAUUGGUUAUAAAUUGAUGUUGAAACUACUAAUAUUAAAAGUAUCAACGAUAACAUUGAUUAUAAUAUCCGAUGUUAAAAUAAAUUACACAACAUCAUUUUCCAAAGAAUUUAUGUUGUAUCAUUAGAAAUAAAUAAAAAAAUAUAAAAUAUGUAAAUAUCCACAUUGAUUUUAAGAAAAAACCAAUGUUGUGUUUCACUGACAACAUCAUUUUUUCAUAAAAUCGAUGUUGUGAAUGCACGACAACAUCGAUUUUACUAAAAAACCAAUGGCCUAUCAUUAUAAAUAAACAAAAAAAAUGAAAAAUAUGUAAAAGCCAACAUCAAUUUUAUGAAGAAUUGAUGUUGUGUUUCACUGACAACAUCGAUUUUUUUUUUAAAACGAUGUUAUGAAUGCACACCAACAUCAGUUUUCCCAGAAAAUCGAUGUUGUUUUAUACUCAACAACAUCGAUUUUCUUAAAAACCGAUCUUGUGAACACACACCAACAUCUUUUUUUUUGGAAAACCAAUGUUUUUUGGCAAUUUUUUUAAUAUCUUGUUUGUUUUUUUAAUUACCCCAAACCUGCAAAUUAAAAAACAAAACUAGUCCAGUCUAGAUAGUUUUCAGGCAGUUCAAGUUUUGUCCAUAAUAAUUGAAUAAUUAUUAUCAAUUAAAAGAAAUAUUUAAUGUAAUCAAAACAAUAGUGUCAAUACAUAAAAUCAUUUGUAACCUAAUCUAAAUUAACAUAACUCUACAAUUGUAACACCUAGUGUUUCAUUUUUAACUCUUAGGUAAUAAUUUGUCCAUUGAAUGUGAAUUGCCUUCAUUGUCUCUAGUUCCAAUGGUCUUGGAUCAGGAAAAUACCAUAUGAUAUAAUAAAACAUAAGUUAAUAAGUAUAAAUAAUAACAAUUAUAACAAAUUGAAUUAGUUUUGAAGUAAAUAAUUAUCGUUUCUCAAUUAUCCUUGAAAUCUCCUAGGGCUAUUGUUGACAUCUAAUGCAUUACAUAGUACCCACACUUAGUGUUUCCUUUUUUUUCCUUAUUACACUAAAUUGGAUAGAAUAUUUAGAUAUUCAAAGUUAAUUGAAAAUUAGUGUACAAAGUAAUAAAAUUUAAUUUUUAAGGCAUCAACACUAUUAGAAAAUAUGCUUUCUACAUCGGUUAUUUAUGACUUUCAACAUCGGUUUUUGAACCGAUGUUGAAAGUACCGACGUUGAUAAUAUUAUCGUUAACAUCGGUUUUUGAAAAACCGAUGUUAACGUAAAAUUACCAACAUCGGUUAUAUAAAUAACUGAUGUUGUUAAUAUGAAUUACACCCAGAAAAUGUAUAUUAAUGUUGAAAGUUAACAUCGGUUUUUACAAAAAAACCGAUGUUAACGAAUGUGUUACUAUUGACAGUUAACAUCGGUUUUUUCAAAAAACCGAUGUUAACGAAUGUGUUAUUAUUGACAGUUAACAUCGGUUUUUAUAAAAAAUUGAUGUUAAUGAAUGUGUUACUAUUGACAGUUAACAUCGGUUUUUAUAAAAAAACCGAUGUUAACACACGUUAACAUCGGUUUUUUUUACAGAAAACCGAUGUUAACGAAUGUGUUGCUAUUGACAGUUAACAUCGGUUGUUUUUAUAAAAAAAACCGAUGUUGUUUUCAGGAAUUUUUUUUAAAUAAUGUCUCUGUUUUUACAAAAAAAAACCAAAAUUUAACCUAUAAAUUUAAAAUCAGACCACACAGCACACAACAUAUAUCAUUUGCAUUCAGUUUUCAAAUAGAUUUUAGCAAAAAACUAGCUAUCAACAAAGGUUGUUCAAUGUUAAGAUGAAACUACAAUUGUAAAAAAUGUAAUGUAAAGUACGUAAACUAAUUAAUUAAGCUAAAGUUACAUAGUUGCCUAACAUCCUAUGUUUGAUUUCUAACUUUUAGAUAAUACUGUGUCCACUGUAUGCGAAGUGCCUUGAAUCUCUCUGCUUCCAAUGGUCUAAUUUCAUUAAAAUACUGCAUGAUCAAAUAAAAAAAUAAAUUAAUGAUGUAAUAACAAUUAUAAAAAAACCAAAUUUGUUUGUAAUAAACAAUUACCGUCUCCCAAUUAUUACUGAAAGAUCCUAAGAUUAUCAUGGACAUCCAGUGCAUCACGUAGUAGCCACAUUCAGUGAUUACUUUUUGUCUAUUACACUAAAUACAUAAUGAAAUUUGGAUAUUAAUUAAACGUUAAUUACAAUUAGUGUACACACACAUAAAAUAUAUAUAAGUAGAACUUUUAUUUAAAUCACGUACCUUAACAACAAUCCACUUAGCAGCAGCCUUGGAUUUCGGUUGUGGAGUAUCAUCAAGUCCUUUCAAAGCACUAGUGUUGAAUAUGAGGAACAUUAAAAUAUUGAUGUUGUUGAGUUAUGCCAAUGAAAAUGUAUUGAAAACAAUACUGACCUGUUAAUUAUUCCCUUAAGGUAGUUGUCUAGCCUGUUAUGUAAAGAACAAAACCAGACAACUAGGUUUUCCUUAGACAGAAUGACGACCAUUUGCCAGUGUCCGCUGCAGUAGAGACGAAUAUGGGUUAUUGUAGUAGUAUAGAUUAUUUAAAUUCAAUUAUUGUGUUUGACUUACCCAUUCAGAUAGGCUCCAAGGUAAACAUCUCGUUUUGAACUCUGUAUCCAACUCUUGAUGUAACUUUCAGAUUCAAAUUGUGAUUGCCCAGAUCUCUGAAUGGACUGUGGCUCGAGGAAUCCAUACACAUCAGAAUUCCCCGCUCGCACACUUGUCUCGGUCAGAUGGCUGUGUUGUUAAGUCAAAGUUAAUUAUGUAUGAAUUUAAAACAAUUACUUUGGUAAUUAAUAGUAAUCUAAAAUGACUUACAGAAUCCACAACUGUAUAACAGAUAUGCUGAGACAUUGACCACCGUGUGCAAUUUCAGAGAGAUCUUCGUGCUUUAUAUACAACGGGAAGUUUUGAUUAAACACCCCGAAUAUGGUAGCAUCCCACAUAACCUGGAGCGGCUUCAAAAACAGUUGUGGGAUGGUCAAUGUCAUCAGGUACAGGGGAUCGUCGACCUCUUCAUCCGGGCUUUCUAGAGAUUUUGCUGGAGACACAGCUGCCUGUUGAUAAAACAUAGUUAAUUAGCAAGUUUUGAUUACAGUGAACAAAAUAAUUGAAAAAAAUAAACAUAUAAUCAGAGUAAAAUACCUGUUCUGAUAAACACUUCACAAGAUGUGUUGGCCAAGCAAGGAAGGUAUUAAGUGCCUGCCCCACUAAGGUAACCUCGUCAGUGGGUACAGGAACGAGAGCCUUUGCAUCUUUAACCUUCUUAACACCAACCUUGACUUGACCAUGCAACAAAGGGAUGUUGUGAACUGUUGUGAAUCCCUCAUAAAGUCUUCCUAGGGCAACCAGGCAGGAAGGAUUUUCUUCAAUAUAUAGCCCGCAUUUUUUUAAAUCACCCGUCCCUGGAUUGUUCCCUAAGGGAGCAACACAACUCUCCUUUGUGCUGACACGAGGACCUGAGGGACCAACCUCUGGCUCUGGAGGUAGUGCAAGUCCCUGUGAUUGCAUCUGAGACUAAAACUUGGACUGCAUCUAGCUGAAGGAUUCCAUCAUCUUUCGAGUCACUUUUUCUGUAAUUGACGGGUAUUUAGACGUAUGCCCAUGUCAGCUAGAUCUUGACCAUCUUUCGAGUCACUUUUUCUGUAACUGCGAUCGUAUGCCCAUGUCAGCUAGAUCUUGACGGGUAUUUAGACCAUCUUUCGUCUUGCCCUG